UACAGAGGGUGCGAGCGUUAAUCGGAAUUACUGGGCGUAAAGCGCGCGUAGGCGGCUUUGCAAGUCGGAUGUGAAAUCCCCAGGCUUAACCUGGGAACUGCUUCCGAGACUGCAUCGCUAGAGUAUGGGAGAGGGAAGUGGAAUUUCAGGUGUAGCGGUGAAAUGCGUAGAUAUCUGAAGGAACAUCAGUGGCGAAAGCGACUUCCUGGACCAAUACUGACGCUCAUGUGCGAAAGCGUGGGGAGCAAACAGGAUUAGAAACCCCCGUAG
rnacentral:rRNA from 1 species